GGAAAGGUGGCUCACUGGUAGAGCACUUGCCUUGCAUGCAUGAGGCCCUGGGUUCAAUUCCUCAGUACCA
rnacentral:tRNA from 1 species